rnacentral:pre_miRNA from 13 species
UUGGAUGUGUCGGGUAGGCAGUGCAUUGCUAGCUGGCUGUUGUAAUUUCACUUUAACAGUUGCUGGUUGCACUCCCCUCUGUCGCGUUCAGA